AUUGAACGCUAGCGGGAUGCUUUACACAUGCAAGUCGAACGAGUGGCGGACGGGUGAGUAAUAUAUCGGAACGUGCCCAGUAGCGGGGGAUAACUACUGGAAAGGGUGGCUAAUACCGCAUACUAUCGGAGGGGCCGAUAUGGGAUUAGCUAGUUGGUGGGGUAAAGGCUCACCAAGGCAACGAUCCGUAGCUGGUCUGAGAGGACGACCAGCCACACUGGGACUGAGACACGGCCCAGACUCCUACGGGAGGCAGCAGUGGGGAAUUUUGGACAAUGGGGGAAACCCUGAUCCAGCCAUCCCGCGUGUAUGAGAAGGCCCUAGGGUUGUAAAGUACUUUUGGCAGGGAAGCGGUAUCUGCAGAAUAAGCACCGGCUAACUACGUGCCAGCAGCCGCGGUAAUAC
rnacentral:rRNA from 1 species